CUCCGCAAAGAGCCAGCACAGUGAGAAGGCAGCAGCAGACAGAGCUGGGGGCAGAUACAGAGAGGGUACUGUGGAAGGAGCUCAGACCAUGCUUCCUCGCUGGUGGCACCCCAUAGCUCUGGUAGCGUAGCCAGGAGGCAGCAUUAGCAGAAAACGAGUGUGAGUGGGAGGUGCAGCACAGCUGAGCUCAUGUCUAUCUCCCGGCUCCCUAAAGCCCCGCCAGCGCAGGGCAGAGGGGGCAGCAAGCUGAAGGGGGAGAAUGGAGAUCCUUAAGACAGCUUAGCCCGGGCCUCGCUUCUGUGGGUUCUUACCGGGCCGAGGCGGGGUCAGCUCAGCCCGGGCCCGGUUCUCCGGGCCGGGGGCGGGUGCACGGGCAGCUCAGCCCGCGCCCAGCCAUACUACCCCCGGCGCGGGGGCAAGGUCCCCACCUUACCCCUACGGUUCGCCCACUCCUGCUGCCGCAGCGCCCGGUCAGGUGAGUCUGCUCAGCUGAUUGGGCAGGGGCAGGAAGGCGAGGUUACCCUGAGCACGUGAUCAGCAGCGAGGGACUGCCAUGAUGGGAAGGGCGAAGAAAAGGAGGGUAGUCAGCUGCUGUCGCCAUCUUAGGGAGGUCGCUCGCGCGUAAAGCCGAAGGGAGCAGAUAGGACUAGAAUAGGGACAAGCUACCUUUGCCUUUACAAAUGCAAUCCUGUUACCAGGAUCUGGAAUGGUCCCCUGCCCUCAUCUCAACGCCCUUUGCAAGCAGCCCCUGGUGAGAAUUUUAGGUCCUUAGGAAAAAUAUCACACCUUUUGAAAAUCAUGGCCACAGGUGGUGUCUGGAACUUGGGCAAGGCAAGUUAUUUUUCAAUAUUAUUUUUAACCUGACUGUGUCCCUUUAAUAGUGACUUUACCUGAGGUCACACAGUGAGUCAGUGAUAAUCUAAAAUAGAAUCCAGUUCUGACUCUCCGUUCUAACUGCUAGUUACCUGCUUCUUCCUCUCCAGUGAUCAUGAUGAUGACAGCAAAAAGGUUCACUUUUACAAUGUUUUCAAUCUUCCCAUUGACUUCAAUGGGAGUUGGAUCAGGCCCCAAAUGUUUCAAACAGAUAAAUUACAAGCUGGGGACAUCAUCCAUAUUUCCCUUCAGUUUAAGCAAGUGUCUCAAAUAGUCCACCUGCUAGCUCCUUCGUUUUGCUUAUGUUCUUCUUGCCCCUUAAUUGAUGGUCCCCUGCAUGAGAUGGUUCUUCCUUCUCAAGAAUUCUUUAAUAUGUAAUUUUUGCUUGUCCACUUGCCUGUUGGUUCACACUCCAGCAACACUGCAUAGAAAGACAAGUUCCUUAUCAAGUUUUGUAUUUGGGCAGGGCACUGAUGCAAUCUGCUGUCUGGUGAAUCACAUUGCACACAGAUAAAUGAUAAGGAAUUGAAUUACGUGUGUGUAACAUCUCAGGCUGGCCAGCAAUCUAAUAUAGUGCCACAUUGACUUUAUUUGAGAGGAUCAGAACUGCCAACUGUUAUUGGAAGUUUCUGAAAGACCUGAGAUUAAUGCAUCAGAGGAGGCCAAUGAGAGACAAGGAUGCUAGCGUGAGAAUGGAUCAAAAGUAUGGGGAAGGCUCAUCUCCAAAAGGAACCCCAGUCAUGGACCAGAAACCUGUUGUGAGAGGUGGUGUGAAAACACAGCAAAGCCAGUCCCUGCUCCAAAGAGCUGACAGUCUUGGAUUUGGAACAUCAAUACCAAAACCAGUUUGACCAAGAAAGAAGACACAUUCAAAAAUUUUAAGGACUUAACAUCUUUAAUCCCGUCCCUUGCUAAUGCUGGGCUGCCCGGGCCGAGGGAAGCACGAAGCUGCCGGGGAGAGGGG